rnacentral:snoRNA from 1 species
UACCCAUGAUGUGGACACUUCAAAAGUAGCCCAUUGAAUCACUCUCAUGUUUCGAAAAACUACUCAUCAUCUAUCUGCGUAAACUCCGAGAUUUCCCUUAUCGCGCU